rnacentral:rRNA from 1 species
CGUCUAGGUGGUGCAGUUAGUCAUAGGUGAAAGCCCCGGGCUUAACCCGGGAAGUGCUUAUGAUACUGCUGCACUUGAGGCUGGGAGAGGAGAGCGGAAUUCCUAGUGUAGCGGUGAAAUGCGUAGAUAUUAGGAGGAACACCAGUGGCGAAGGCGGCUCUCUGGACCAGUACUGACACUAAAGCGCGAAAGCUAGGGUAGCAAACG